rnacentral:rRNA from 1 species
GAUGAACGCUGGCGGCAUGCCUAACACAUGCAAGUCGAUCGGUAAGGCUCUUCGGAGUACACGAGAGGCGGACGGCUGAGUAACGCGUAGGAACACACCCUGCAGUGAGGGAUAAGACACCGAAAGGUGUUCUAAUACCGCAUACGGUCUUCGGAUUAAAGCAUUUAUGCGCUGAAGGAGUGGCCUGCGUCAUAUUAGAUAGUUGGUGAGGUAAUGGCUCACCAAGUCGAUGAUGUGUAGCUGGUCUGAGAGGAUGAUCAGCCAGACUGGAACUGAGACACGGUCCAGACUCCUACGGGAGGCAGCAGUGAGGAAUAUUUCACAAUGAGCGAAAGCUUGAUGGAGCAAUGCCGCGUGAAGGAUGAAGGCCCUCGGGUUGUAAACUGCUUUUAUAAGAGAAGAUUAUGACGGUAACUGAUGAAUAAGGGACGGCUAACUACGUG